GGCGGCUGCCGAAACAUGGGCAAUGCCGCAGCCCAUCUGUCCUGCGCCGAUAAUUCCCACCGUCUUGAUCAUGAAGCGAACACCCAUGUUCAACAGGUUGCGGCAAUGACGCUGCCGCAG
rnacentral:rRNA from 1 species